GUCUGAACUUGAUUUAUAUCUAAGUCAUAAUUGUCCAAAUCUUCCUGGUUAUAUUCGCCACUACUCCACCUAAACUCGGUCUCCGAGUUUGCCGAAUGAAUUUUGUUAUCGUCGUGGGUAUCUUCCUCCUCCUCGCCGAUGCCGUUGCUGCGAAUUGCCACGCGAGCAAAUUGCAAGGGUCGAACGCACAUCUUGGUUUGAAUGUUUUAUGUCUAGAUGUUGAAUCUCGUGUCUACUAUUUACGUUCUCUUCCUUAAGUCUCUGAAUUUCGUCUUCCAUAUCAUUUAAGAUGCGAUUGUACUGCAUGUCAGAAUUUUUGUACUCCAUUGUUAAGCGUUGUCUGGUGUUCGUUAAAUUUAGGUUUUCCUCUUUCAGUUGAACUAUUACUCUUUCCAAAUGUUCAGUUCUACUUGUAUGUUCGGCUAACUCGUGUUCUAUCUUUUGAAUUAUCCGGCCAUGUUAUAAUCGUUCCAAAUCUACUUUGUCCAAAUUCUUCCUUAAUAUCACGUUAUCGUUCACUACGGUAUCCAAUUUAGAAUGUUCAGACUUGAGCGCAGCGAUUUCUUUGAUGAAGUUUCGGUUAGACAUUU
rnacentral:lncRNA from 1 species